rnacentral:tRNA from 2 species
GCGCGAGUGGCGGAAUCGGUAGACGCGCUGGAUUUAGGUUCCAGUGCCCCAGGGCGUGGGGGUUCGAGUCCCCCCUCGCGCA